rnacentral:rRNA from 1 species
UACGUAGGGGGCUAGCGUUGUCCGGAAUCAUUGGGCGUAAAGGGCGCGUAGGCGGCCACCGCAAGUCGACUGUGAAAUCUCCGGGCUUAACCCGGAAAGGUCAGCCGAUACUGCGGGGCUAGAGUGCAGAAGGGGCAACUGGAAUUCUCGGUGUAGCGGUGAAAUGCGUAGAUAUCGAGAGGAACACCUGCGGCGAAGGCGGGUUGCUGGGCUGACACUGACGCUGAGGCGCGAAAGCUAGGGGAGCGAACGGG